rnacentral:rRNA from 1 species
AGUGAACGCUGGCGGUAGGCCUAACACAUGCAAGUCGAACGGCAGCACAGUAAGAGCUUGCUCUUACGGGUGGCGAGUGGCGGACGGGUGAGGAAUACAUCGGAAUCUACUUUUUCGUGGGGGAUAACGUAGGGAAACUUACGCUAAUACCGCAUACGACCUACGGGUGAAAGCAGGGGAUCUUCGGACCUUGCGCGAUUGAAUGAGCCGAUGUCGGAUUAGCUAGUUGGCGGGGUAAAGGCCCACCAAGGCGACGAUCCGUAGCUGGUCUGAGAGGAUGAUCAGCCACACUGGAACUGAGACACGGUCCAGACUCCUACGGGAGGCAGCAGUGGGGAAUAUUGGACGAUGGGCGCAAGCCUGAUCCAGCCAUACCGCGUGGGUGAAGAAGGCCUUCGGGUUGUAGCCCUUUUGUUGGGAAAGAAAAGCAGCAGGUUAAUACCCCGCUGUUCUGACGGUACCCAAAGAAUAAGCACCGGCUAACUUCGUG